GACGAACGCUGGCGGCGUGCUUAACACAUGCAAGUCGAGCGGUAAGGCCCUUUCGGGGGUACACGAGCGGCGAACGGGUGAGUAACACGUGGGUGACCUGCCUUUAGCUCUGGGAUAAGCCUGGGAAACUGGGUCUAAUACCGGAUAUGACUCCGCGGUGCAUGCUGUGGGGUGGAAAGCCUUGUGCGGCUGGAGAUGGGCCCGCGGCCUAUCAGCUUGUUGGUGGGGUGAUGGCCUACCAAGGCGACGACGGGUAGCCGGCCUGAGAGGGCGACCGGCCACACUGGGACUGAGACACGGCCCAGACUCCUACGGGAGGCAGCAGUGGGGAAUCUUGCGC
rnacentral:rRNA from 1 species